rnacentral:rRNA from 1 species
UACGGAGGAGGCAAGCGUUAUCCGGAAUUAUUGGGCGUAAAGCGUCCGUAGGUGGCUCUUCAAGUCUGCUGUCAAAGAGUGGGGCUUAACCCUGCAAAGGCAGUGGAAACUGAAAGGCUAGAGAGCCGUAGGGGUAGAGGGAAUUCCCGGUGUAGCGGUGAAAUGCGUAGAUAUCGGAAGGAACAUCAGUGGCGAAAGCGGCUUCCUGGACCAGUACCGACGUUCAGGCACGAAAGCGUGGGGAGCAAACAGG